AGGGAGAAUGCUUUCAGUUGCUUGGCUGCGGGCGCCCGGGUGGGCCAGAGGGGUCGCUGGAGAACGACGAGUCCCCGAACACUAUACCGAUCUACACCCACUAUCUUUCGGUAUCCUACGAUGCCUAACAACAUCAGGCAAAGAGACUGCCGAUGGAAACGAGCCUCUUAGCUAACUCAGUAUAUCACAUCGGUUAUCCUGGAAGCCACAGGCAAAACACGCUGUGACCUGUAUGUCAACAUGGACAUCUCAAGAUGGAUCUCUAUUUAUUAAUCCAAAUCAACUUGUCACAGAAAAGCAACACUGCUCUGCUCACAAGAAAACAUGGCAAAAAAAGAAUA